UAUCGUAUUUACUGGUCAUGUCCAUGCUUAUGAACGCACGAAACGUGUCAACAAUGGUAAAUCAGAUCCAUGUGGUCCCAUACACAUAACCAUAGGUGAUGGAGGAAACAGAGAAGGGUUGGCUCGCAAGUAA